rnacentral:rRNA from 1 species
AGUAAACGGCGGCCGUAACAAUAACGGUCCUAAGGUAGCGAAAUUCCUUGUCGGGUAAGUUCCGACCCGCACGAAAGGCGUAACGAUUUGGGCACUGUCUCAACGAGAGACUCGGUGAAAUCAUAGUACCUGUGAAGAUGCAGGUUACCCGCGACAGGACGGAAAGACCCCGUGGAGCUUUACUGUAGCCUGAUAUUGAAAUUCGGCACAGCUUGUACAGGAUAGGUAGGAGCCUUUGAAACGUGAGCGCUAGCUUACGUGGAGGCGUUGGUGGGAUACUACCCUAGCUGUGUUGGCUUUCUAACCCGCACCACUUAUCGUGGUGGGAGACAGUGUCAGGCGGGCAGUUUGACUGGGGCGGUCGCCUCCUAAAAGGUAACGGAGGCGCCCAAAGGUUCCCUCAGCCUGGUUGGCAAUCAGGUGUUGAGUGUAAGUGCACAAGGGAGCUUGACUGUGAGACUGGCAGGUCGAGCAGGGACGAAAGUCG